AGUAGGUAAUGCCAAUUUUUACAAAAGUUGUGUGUAUAUUAUAGAUUAAAUUCCGAAAGCAGAACUGUUUAUAUCCGAAUAUUUCUUUUUCUUUUAUGUUCAUCCUACGUUGCAAUGUAAAUGCACUUUUAACAUUUUGUUUAUAUGUGGAAUAAAGAGCUUAAGUUCGAGUUCAAGUGGA